rnacentral:rRNA from 1 species
UACGUAGGGCGCGAGCGUUAUCCGGAAUUAUUGGGCGUAAAGAGCUCGUAGGCGGUUUGUCGCGUCUGCUGUGAAAACUGGAGGCUCAACCUCCAGCCUGCAGUGGGUACGGGCAGACUCGAGUGCGGUAGGGGAGACUGGAAUUCAUGGUGUAGCAGUGAAAUGCGUAGAGAUCAUGAGGAAGACCAGUGGCGAAGGCGGGUCUCUGGACAGUUCCUGACACUGAGACACGAAGGCCAGGGGAGCAAACGGG